rnacentral:tRNA from 1 species
GAAAUAAAAGUAAGAAAAGAGCUGCUAACUCUUUUUCUAAGCGGUUGAAUUCCGUUUGUAUUUCU